GAUGAAUGCUGGCGGCGUGCCUAAUACAUGCAAGUCGAGCGAACGGACGAGAAGCUUGCUUCUCUGAUGUUAGCGGCGGACGGGUGAGUAACACGUGGAUAACCUACCUAUAAGACUGGGAUAACUUCGGGAAACCGGAGCUAAUACCGGAUAAUAUUUUGAACCGCAUGGUUCAAAGGUGAAAGACGGUCUUGCUGUCACUUAUAGAUGGAUUCGCGCUGCAUUAGCUAGUUGGUAAGGUAACGGCUUACCAAGGCAACGAUGCAUAGCCGACCUGAGAGGGGGAUCGGCCACACUGGAACGGAGACACGGUCCAGACUCCUGCGGGAGGCAGCAGUAGGGAAUCUUCCGCAAUGGGCGAAAGCCUGACGGGGCAACGCCGCGUGAGUGAUGAAGGUCUUCGGAUCGUAAGACUCUGUUAUUAGGGAAGAACAGAUGUGUAAGUAACUGUGCACAUCUUGACGGUACCUAAUCAGAAAGCCACGGCUAACUACGUG
rnacentral:rRNA from 1 species